rnacentral:lncRNA from 1 species
UUUUUUUUUUGCUUUUUAGGGCUGAACCUGUGACAUAUGGAAGUUUCCAGGCUAAGGGUUGAACUACACCACAGCCACAGCAAUGCAGGAGUUGAGCCGAAUCUGCAACCUACACCACAGCUCAAGGCAAUGUUGGAUACUGAACCCACUGAGGGGGGCCAGGGAUUGAACCCAUAUCCUCAUGGAUACUAGUUGGGUUCAUUACCACUCAGCCCAAAUGGGAAUUUUUCUUCUUUUCUUUUUCUUUUUUCAAUGGAAGCAUCUGAAGAAUUGUUUUAAUGGAGUGGUAGGAAAAGCAGAGAUGGCUGAAUAACAGUUCAGACCAAACAAAUGAUCAAUGAAUUUCCACGGAGCUGCAAGGAUGGUCUGGCAGGAUGUGGCUCCCAGACAGGAGGUGUGUCUACACCACAAAGUCUGCCCUCAGAAUCACAUCUCUGUACAGGGAAAUUCAAGCAAAUUUUUAGGCACAGAACCCAAAGCCAACAAUAAAAAGCUUAGAUUUUCCUACAAGCUGAAUUAGAUUACUAUUUGCUGGGGAUUGGGAUGGAAAUGUUUUUAAAUCGGGUCACGGUGAUAGUUAUACAACUAUAACUAUAAUAAAAUUCAUGGAGUUUAAAAAAAAGAAUACAAUUUGUUAAAGUGUUGACUCAAGGAGUUCCUCCGUGGCUCAGCAAACGAACAACCCAGAGCUGUCACUGCUGUGGCUCAGGUUCGAUCCCAGGCCCAACCACUUCCACAUGCCAUAGACACAGCCAAAGGAAAACAGAGUUGACCUAAACCAAUACUAGAACAGGGAUGCUUGCAUUGAGUAUUCACACUCAUACACAUAGUAUUCCCUAAUACAGUUAGGGACUCCUAAGCAUGGAGAAUCGGCAACAAAAAUUGCAUCUUUUCUGCUAGAAGCAGGUACAACUCUUUGUGAAGUGUUAUUCAAGAGGGGAAAAAAAAGUACUUCUGCGUUAGACUGUCUGCAUUCUCUUCUCUCUCUGUGUUGCUCUGCCUCCAUGAGCAUCGUCUGGUUUGCAUGCCACUCUGCAUCCAUACCACUGGUUCUGGCUCUUCCUUGUAUGACUGUGAUAUUCCAGUUACUAAGUAUCAUUAGUCACAGGGACCCAACUCACCUUUUCAUUCAAUGUCGGCCUUUUUAUUCAAAGGCUUCUUUAAACGUGGCUCUGGCUCCUACAGGUACUGGUGGUAUACCUGCCAGGAAACUCCCAACCAGGGCAGUGGUGCCUUCUCUUUUUCAGGAAAGCCUUGCAUGGGGUCUGCCUGUUACUCUCAGCAAGAAAUGGCUCCCUUUCUUUCAACCGAAUUGCUUUUCUGCCCUGCUGGGUUUCAGUAAGCUUUUCCUUCUGAAAAACUUGGAGGGAAUAUCAGAGGGGAGGCAAAACACUUCCAGAUCCAGGACUGGCCGGAAACGUCUUUCUGGUUGAACAGAGGGCUUUAGCCUCGGAUGCUUGCUUUUUAUUCAACAUCAGCACCUCACCUGUGCCUGACCCCGCAGUGGCCCCCCUGGCAGCCAGCCUGAGCUCUUCCCAACCUAUAAGUCUUGCCUAUUUCCUCCCCUAACAUUUUGAUGGGUAGUCCAAUGAACUCAUAGAGAUCAGGCUUAGCAAAUACACUGGCGACCUGCAGAGCAGGACUGUCACCCGGCCUGGUGUCAGGAGAUCAUCUCAGUUUUAAUCCUAUGAGGGGGAGAGGCCCUGAGCAGGAUAUCAAACCCCUCUGAGCCCUUAACGUCCUCGUGUCUCUAAUUUCAAAAGUAUGUUAAGUCAUUUCCCAUGCUACCCAUUGGGAAACCCCACCACACAAAUGUGCUAGUGCCUUCUCUCAUGGACCCAACAUCAACCCCCACCAGCUCAGGUGUGGCCACCUGCUGGAUGCCAGGCUCCAAGCCCCCAGCAGGUCUUCAUUGAGCCUGGCUGUCCUUUCAUUUAAGGGGCAAGGUCCCUUCCCAAUUCCUCCCAGAACCCAUGAGAGGCUUGGUGUGUCCACAAAGAGGAGAAACAGACUGGGAGAGGGACCUCUCUCUGGAAAAUUCCAUGAACCCCAGGACCUCCCUUGUCCCUUAGAGAGUGGAAGGUGGUCUCAGAAGGAACAAACUGGAUUCAGGGCCACCCUGGUGGAUGAGCUUGAGCCAGACUUAAAUGGAUUAAGAAAAGUAAUAAAUCAUGCCUUUUGGCAUGGGGCCCUUCCCCCCCUUUUUGUGUCUGCUGCUUACAGCGGCUUGAUGCACGAUCUUGGUUCCCAGAUCAGAGUUGAACCCAGGCUGCAGCAGCGAAAGUGCCAAAUCCUAACUACUAGGCCACCAGGGAGCUCCAGCCCCUUAUUUUUAGGGUGUUUUCUAUGAGCCAGGCAUUGUUUUGAGCAAUAUAUAUAAACCAUUUCAUUUAAGCCUAUGAGAUAGUAAUUAUUUUUGCUAUAUUAUUUUCAUUCUCAUUUUCAGAAUUGUGGUAUUUAAAGCCAAGAUUCUGAGUCCAAGUUUCAGGCAGUAAAGAUUUAAUCCCAGACUGAGUUAGUCCCAUGUGCAAAGCCUUUCAAAACAUGAGCAUGUCAAUUUUCCCAGAAAUUAGCAAAUGUUGCUAUUUUCUGAGUCCAUUUACAAUAGGAAAGUAGUGAUUCAAUUUUGUGCUUUAGCAGGAAGCUGAUGUUUUGGGAAGAAUGCAGAAAAACCAAGUGCUAGUGUGGAACUAGAUCCCCUGGCAAGUGCAGCUUUUAUCCCAAAGCCUCUUCUCAAGGGCUUCCUGUGCAUGGGGAGUUGACAAGCAGAACUGCUACUGGAGAAGCCCAGUGCAGCAAGUGGGUCUGGACAAGCUAACUCAAAAGUCCUUAUGGUAGGAAAGGGUGAACAUAUUUUGCAUAGAGGAUGGUUUCAAAUGCAUAGCUGUACCAUAGAUUUUGAGAAGUUGUAUCUUCAUUAUCAUUUGUCUUGAGGCAUUUUUUAAUUUCCUUCUUGAUUUCCUCAUGGACCCAUUGGUUUUUUAGUAGCAGGUUGUUUUGUCUCCAUGUAGAAAGUUUUUUCUCAUUUCUUUUCCUGUGGUUGGUUUCUAGUUUCAUGCCGUUGUGGUCAGAGAAGGCACUUGAAAUAAUUUCUAUACUCUUAAGUUUGUUGAGGAUAGCUUUGUGCCCCAGUAUGUGAUCAAUUUUCUUGAGAAUACUUCAUGUGCACUUGAGAAGAAUGUAUAUUCUGAUUUUUUUGGAUGUAAUGCCCUGAAAAUGUCAAUUAAGCCUAACUUUUCUAUUGUGUCCUUUGAGAUCUCUGUUGCCUUAUUGAUUGACACAACUACUCAAAAUCUAUGGGAUGCCACAAAAGCAGUGCUCAGAGUGAAAUUCAUAGCACUACAGGCCUUCCUCAAAAAAGAAGAAAAACCUCAAACCAACAACUUAACCCACCACCUAAAUGAAUUAGAAAAAGAAGAACAAAUAAAACCUAAAGUCAGCAGAAGGAAGGAAAUCAUAAAGAUCAAAGAGGAAGUCAAUAAAAUAGAGAUUCAAAAACAAUAGAAAAAAAUCAAUAAAACCAAGAGAUGGUGCUUUGAAAAGCUAAACCAAAUUGACAAACCUCUGGCUAUAUUCACCAAGAAGAGGAAAGAAAAAAACCCAAAUAAAAUAAGAAAUGAAAAAGGAGAAGUCACAAUGGAUACUACAGAAAUACAAAAACAAACAAACAAACAAACAAAAAACCACUAGAGAAUACUAUGAACAAUUGUAUGCUAAUAAAUUUGACAACCUAGAAGAAAUGGACAACUUUCUAGAGACUUACAGCCUGCCAAAACUGAAUCAAGAAGAAAUAGAUCAACUGAACAGGCCGAUCACUAGAAAUUGAAUAUGUCAUAAAAACACUCCCUACAAAUAAAAGUCCAGGAUCAUAUGGCUUCACAGGUGAAUUCUGCCAAACAUACAAAGAAGAACUUACACCCAUUCUCCUUAAGCGUUUUCAAAAGGCUGAAGAAGAAGGAACACUCGCAGAGACAUUCUAUGAUGCCGCCAUCACCCUAAUUGGAAAGCCAGACAAAGAUACCACCAAAAAAGAAAACUAUAGGCCAUUAUCUUUGACGAAUACAGAUGCAAAAAUUCUCAACAAAAUUUUGGCCAAAUGAAUCCAACAACAUAUAAAAAAGGUCAUACACCACGACCAGGUGGGAUUCAUCCCAGGUGCACAAGGAUGGUUCAACGUAUGUGAAUUAAUCAAUGUCAUACACCACAUUAAUAAAAGAAAAGUAAAAAAACACACGAUCAUCUCAAUAGAUGCAGAGAAAGCAUUUGACAAAGUCUAUCAUCCCUUCAUGAUAAAAACUCUUACCAAAGUGAGUAUACAGGGAACAUACCUUAACAUAAUAAAUGUCAUUUAUGGCAAACCACCAGCAAAUAUAACACUCAAUAGAGAAAAGCUGAAAGCCUUCCCACUAAAAUUUAGAACAAGACAAGGAUGCCCACUCACCACUGUUAUUCAACAUAGUAUUGGAAAUCCUAGCCACAGCAAUCAGACAAACAAAAGAAAUAAAAGGCAUCCAAAUAG